AGCGAACGCUGGCGGCGUGCCUAACACAUGCAAGUCGAGCGCGGGCAUUUCGGGGGUAACCCCGGGAUGUGCUGAGCGGCGGACGAGUGAGUAAUACGUGGACAACCUGCCUUAAAGCUUGGGAUAACUCCGGGAAACUGGAGCUAAUACCGGAUAAGACCACGGUGUCUAUGGAUGCUGAGGUAAAGCGGCCAGGAAACUGGCUGUUGCUUAAAGAUGGGUCCACGUCCCAUCAGGUAGUUGGUGAGGUAAAGGCUCACCAAGCCAAAGACGGGUAGCUGGCCUUAGCGGGUGGUCAGCCACACGGGGACUGAGACACGGCCCCGACUCCUACGGGAGGCAGCAGUGGGGAAUAUU
rnacentral:rRNA from 1 species